rnacentral:rRNA from 1 species
GGUGAACGCUGGCGGCGUGCCUAAUACAUGCAAGUAGAACGCUGAAGGAGGAGCUUGCUCUUCUGGAUGAGUUGCGAACGGGUGAGUAACGCGUAGGUAACCUGCCUGGUAGCGGGGGAUAACUAUUGGAAACGAUAGCUAAUACCGCAUGACAACAGUUAUUGCAUGAUAACUGUUUAAAAGGGGCAACUGCUCCACUACCAGAUGGACCUGCGUUGUAUUAGCUAGUUGGUGAGGUAACGGCUCACCAAGGCGACGAUACAUAGCCGACCUGAGAGGGUGAUCGGCCACACUGGGACUGAGACACGGCCCAGACUCCUACGGGAGGCAGCAGUAGGGAAUCUUCGGCAAUGGACGGAAGUCUGACCGAGCAACGCCGCGUGAGGGAAGAAGGGUUUCGGAUCGUAAAGCUCUGUUGUAAGAGAAGAACGAGUGUGAGAGUGGAAAGUUCACACUGUGACGGUAUCUUACCAGAAAGGGACGGCUAACUACGUG